ACGCAAAAGAGAGAACUCGAGAUCUGGGCAUAGCGACUCACUCAGAUCUAUACACCUUCUUCUUCUUCUUCUUCUUCCUCUUCCUCUUCGCUUCGUUCGUAAACUCAUCUGAUCUGUGGUAACCACC
rnacentral:sRNA from 1 species